rnacentral:rRNA from 1 species
UACGUAGGGGGCAAGCGUUAUCCGGAUUUACUGGGUGUAAAGGGAGCGUAGACGGCUAGGCAAGUCUGAUGUGAAAGCCCAGGGCUCAACUCUGGGAUUGCAUUGGAAACUGUUUGGCUAGAGUGCAGGAGAGGUAAGUGGAAUUCCUAGUGUAGCGGUGAAAUGCGUAGAUAUUAGGAGGAACACCAGUGGCGAAGGCGGCUUACUGGACUGUAACUGACGUUGAGGCUCGAAAGCGUGGGGAGCGAACAGG